rnacentral:rRNA from 1 species
GAUGAACGCUAGCUACAGGCUUAACACAUGCAAGUCGCGGGGCAGCAUGGGGGUUGCUUGCCAUCCCCGAUGGCGACCGGCGCACGGGUGAGUAACGCGUAUCCAACCUGCCCUUCACCACAGGAUAACCCGGCGAAAGUCGGACUAAUACCGUAUGUUGUCCAUUGACGGCAUCCGAUUUGGACGAAAGGCUUGGCGGUGAGGGGUGGGGAUGCGUCCGAUUAGCCAGACGGCGGGGUAACGGCCCACCGUGGCUACGAUCGGUAGGGGUUCUGAGAGGAAGGUCCCCCACACUGGAACUGAGACACGGUCCAGACUCCUACGGGAGGCAGCAGUGAGGAAUAUUGGUCAAUGGGCGUAAGCCUGAACCAGCCAAGUAGCGUGCAGGAUGACGGCCCUAUGGGUUGUAAACUGCUUUUAUGCGGGGAUAAAGUGGCCCACGUGUGGGCUUUUGCAGGUACCGCAUGAAUAAGGACCGGCUAAUUCCGUG